rnacentral:rRNA from 1 species
AGACUUGACAUCCCCUGAAUUACCUGUAAUGAGGGAAGCCCUUCGGGGCAGGGAGACAGGUGAUGCAUGGUUGUCGUCCGCUCGUGUCGUGAGAUCUUAGGUUAAGUCCUGCAACGAGCGCAACCCUUAUCAUUAGUUACUACCAUUAAGUUGAGCUUUCUAGUGAGACUGCCCGGGUUAACCGGGAGGAAGGUGGGGAUGACGUNNAAUGAGUCAUGCC